GAUGAACGCUGGCGGCGUGCUUAACACAUGCAAGUCGAGCGAAGCGAUUUUAAGGAAGCUUUCGGGUGGAAUUAAAAUUGACUGAGCGGCGGACGGGUGAGUAACGCGUGGGUAACCUGCCUCAUACAGGGGGAUAACAGUUAGAAAUGACUGCUAAUACCGCAUAAGCGCACAGUGCUGCAUAGCACAGUGUGAAAAACCCCGGUGGUAUGAGAUGGACCCGCGUCUGAUUAGGUAGUUGGUAGGGUAACGGCCUACCAAGCCGACGAUCAGUUGCCGACCUGGGUGGGUGACCGGCCACAUUGGGACUGAGACACGGCCCUAACUCCUACGGGAGGCAGCAGUGGGGAAUAUUGGACAAUGGGGGAAACCCUGAUCCAUCGACGCCGCGUGAAUGAAGAAGGCCUUAGGGUUGUAAAGUUCUUUCGCUAGGGAAGAUAAUGACUGUACCUAGAUAAGAAGCCCCGGCUAACUCCGUGCCAGCAGCCGCGGUAA
rnacentral:rRNA from 1 species